CUGCGGGUGAGCAGAGCAGUCCCUUCGUGGUCGCCAACUGAAACGAUACGCGGAAUAAAUAGACUCCAUAACCUGGGGUAGUUAUGAAGUGGACGUUCCAUAUGCAAAACACUGCACGACUUUUUCAUGCAUAUUCAACCCCUGGCCCCGCCUGUCCUCGCUUCUCAUGCUAAGUAAGUCCACGCCCUUCUGGGCAUGCGUGGUUUGCUGUGGUGGUCGUACGGGUGUCUCUUGGUGGUCCUGAGGCUGAAGAUUGUGGUUUUCCUCAUCAUUGUACUUUUGAACUUUUCCUCUCUGCGCAUGCGCUUUUAGUCCUUUGGUGCUUAUCUGAGUACGUCUGUCAGUCUUGAUAGGCUUGGAGACAGAGGAGCUUCUUUAUCUGGGUUCUUUGCUUCUUCUGGUAUUGUUCUUUAUGCAAGAAGCUUCAGAAAUUUGCAUUUUCCUUUGCCCUUUGUAUUAGGCAGAGGUUUCCUAAGCAAAAGGUAGAAAAUUCAACACAUAACUAUACAAGCUAAAUUAUAAAUGCUUAAUUCAUUUUGAUAACCUAAUUCUAAAAAUCUCUGUUUCACCUCGAGAGCUGUCACAGAGCAGAAGGGCAGAUGAGAGGCUGAAAAGCAGCAAAGCUGAACAGCCUGCCUCAGCUUCAGCAGUGUGCAAUUGACUGAAGGCGAAAAACCAAGCAGCAGAGCAGCAGGCUUCUGUGCGCACUGAAGGCAAUUGCAAGCAUGCAGCAGCUGCUCCUUGCCAAGCACAGGCAGCUGCCUAGGUUCUUGGUUCUUGACCAACUCACAGUUGCCCUUCUUUUCAGCAGCUGCCACCGUGUUCUCUGCAUCUCGCAGCCUCUGGGGAGCAACAAGAAUUUCCAAGGUGGGAUGCAUGACGACUAUGGCAAAACCCAGGAAAGUUGUCCUGGAACACCUUCCAUUGGCAUGCCAAGACUGAAUUCAACAGGCAGGAGAGCAGCAGCCACCGUCCUCCAGCUGUCUGCGAGCUUCGCACACAAGCCGGCUUCUUCGCGGCUUCGUUCUUCGCCUCUUGCAAGCUACCGCCAUCUCCGGCUGCCGGAGGACAAGAAGCGGCUACUUUGCGCACAGAUCACUGGAGCGGCAGCGGUGCGCUCCGGAGCGCCGCUUCUGCCGAAAGACUCCGGGAAGCGGCACUUGCUUUCGGCCAGCUCCGGAGCUGCGUAUUCUGCCUCUCUAGUCGCCUACAUCUUAGCCAAAAGCUUUUCCGCUCCAGUUCUCAAGGAGAAAGUGUACCAGCACUGCUCACUUAGCCCGACCUUGCCAAGAAAUAAGAUUUGCUGCACAUUCCAAGGACACUGCAUUUUCCUGGGCAAGCUGCAACCUUCUGGCAGAUGGCUGUGCUCUCUGCCCACUCCUGCCCAGUUCUUGGUACUAGCGGGCACGUUGCAGCCUGGCGAAGGCAAGAAACCUCUGAAACGAUACGCGGAAUAAAUAAAUAGACUCCAUAAGCUAGGGUAGUUAUGAAGUGGGUAUGUACGUCAGCGCCCGGCACAAGUGAGAUAGCUCUCCAAAACUUGUGCCCCGAGCCUCAGUCUGACCCACACUUUUAUUCUUAAAGACGUUCCAUAUACAAUACACUGCACAACUUUUUCAUGAGUAUUCAACCCCUGGCCCCGCCUGUCCUCGCUUCUCAUGCUAAAGCUGUCACAGAGCAGAAGGGCAGAUGAGAUGCUGAAAAGCAGCAAAGCUGAACAGCCUGCCUCAGCUUCAGCAGUGUGCAAUUGACUGAAGGCAAAACACCAAGCAGCAGAGCAGCGGGCUUCUGUGCACUUCUGAAGGCAAUUGCAAGAAUCCAGUAGCUGCUCCUUGCCAAGCACAGUCAGCUGCCUAGGUUCUUGCUUCUUGACCAACUCACAGUUGCCCUUCUUUUCAGCAGCUGCCACGGUGUUCUCUGCGUCUCGCAGCCUCUGGGGAGCAACAAGAAUUUCCAAGGCGGUGUAAGAGCCCGUCUGAAGCCCCUCAUUUUCCAUUCUGCCUUCUGAUUGCCACGAGAAAGAAUCCCUUCCUCCACUGCAGUUCCGGCUUAGAACAGGACACAGUGCAGUGAUUCAAAUGGACUUCUUCUUCAUUGGAUUCGUCUUGCUUUGGUGGUUUCUGUGGACUCACCUGUUCCCGCGUGGCGAUUACAAUGGACUUUCAUUGUUACACUUGCUCCCCCCUCUUUCCUCUGUGGACUAUAACUGGAGCCCCGAGUCGACCAGAACUUCGGAGACUCCCCCGACACGACAGACGGAUCCCCAUCGUCCGGACUACUGAGGAUCUCGCCUGUGUUGGUAGCUAUUCCCAUACCCCUCUUCUCUCUCUCUCUCUCCUUUUAUCUCCUUUCCGAUCCCCACUAUCGCAUUUACUGUUUUGGCCCCUAAUAAAGGUGCAUUUGUUGUGAUUAA